GACAGAGGUGCCGAGCGUUAGGCGGAAUCACUGGGCUUAAAGCGUGUGUAGGCGGACCCGUCAGUGUCUUGUGAAAUCCCCCGGCUCAACCGGGGAACGGCUGGGCAUACUGCGGGUCUUGAGACACCUAGGGGCGAGCGGAACAGGCGGUGGAGCGGUGAAAUGCGUAGAUAUCGCCUGGAACGCCGACGGUGAAAACAGCUCGCUGGGGGUGUUCUGACGCUGAGGAGCGAAAGUGUGGGGAGCGAACAGG
rnacentral:rRNA from 1 species